rnacentral:tRNA from 1 species
GUGGUGGCUCAGUGGUAGAGCACUUGCCUAGCACGUGUGAGGCACUAGGUUCAAUUAUCAGCACCACA